rnacentral:rRNA from 1 species
GAUGAACGCUGGCGGCGUGCCUAAUACAUGCAAGUCGAGCGAACAGACGAGGAGCUUGCUCCUCUGACGUUAGCGGCGGACGGGUGAGUAACACGUGGAUAACCUACCUAUAAGACUGGGAUAACUUCGGGAAACCGGAGCUAAUACCGGAUAACAUGUUGAACCGCAUGGUUCAACAGUGAAAGACGGUCUUGCUGUCGCUUAUAGAUGGAUCCGCGCCGUAUUAGCUAGUUGGUAAGGUAACGGCUUACCAAGGCAACGAUGCGUAGCCGACCUGAGAGGGUGAUCGGCCACACUGGAACUGAGACACGGUCCAGACUCCUACGGGAGGCAGCAGUAGGGAAUCUUCCGCAAUGGGCGAAAGCCUGACGGAGCAACGCCGCGUGAGUGAAGAAGGUCUUCGGAUCGUAAAACUCUGUUAUUAGGGAAGAACAAAUGUGUAAGUAACUAUGCACGUCUUGACGGUACCUAAUCAGAAAGCCACGGCUAACUACGUG